UACGUAGGGGGCAAGCGUUGUCCGGAAUCAUUGGGCGUAAAGCGCGUGUAGGCGGCUCGGUAAGUCUGCUGUGAAAGUCCAGGGCUCAACCCUGGGAUGCCGGUGGAUACUGUCGAGCUCGAGUCCGGAAGAGGCGAGUGGAAUUCCUGGUGUAGCGGUGAAAUGCGCAGAUAUCAGGAGGAACACCAAUGGCGAAGGCAGCUCACUGGGACGGUAUUGACGCUGAGGCGCGAAAGCUAGGGGAGCAAACGGG
rnacentral:rRNA from 1 species